rnacentral:rRNA from 1 species
UACAGAGGGGGCAAGCGUUGUUCGGAAUUACUGGGCGUAAAGGGCGCGUAGGCGGCCUUCUAAGUCGAACGUGAAAUCCCCGGGCUCCAACCCGGGAACUGCGUCCGAUACUGGAAGGCUUGAAUCCGGGAGAGGGAUGCGGAAUUCCGAGGUGUAGCGGUGAAAUGCGUAGAUAUCUGGAGGAACACCGGUGGCGAAGGCGGCGAGA